GCCUGGCUGACUCAGUCAGAAGAGCAUGGGACUCUUAAUCUCAGGGUUGUGAGUUCAAGCCCCAUGUUGGGUG
rnacentral:tRNA from 1 species